UUGAAAGGGAAACGAUUGAAGUCAGUCGNACCUUCGGGUAAUCAGCCUUUCGGGUGCGAUUCUGUGGUUUGAGGAGCUUAACACCUUCAUGCUUUGNNNAUUCGUGCUCUUGGGUGUACUUGCCCGUGUGGUUGGUUAACAUCAAUUUUGGUGGUCAUAAAAUGACUGGAGGAAUGUAGCUUCGAUCUUGUAUUGAAGUGUUAUAGCCUUCGGUAGAUGUGAUGAUCGAGAUUGAGGAUUGCAACGGAUACCCUUCGGGGCUACCUGUCUGGUCUCUGAUCGUUGCUCUGGUGCCGAAAGCUUGCUUACGGUUAUCAAAGUCGAUGGUCAAUAGGUUAGAACGGGUUAAAUUCGUUAAGGAUGUUGACGUA
rnacentral:rRNA from 1 species